UACAGAGGUCCCAAGCGUUGUUCGGAUUCACUGGGCGUAAAGGGUGCGUAGGUGGUUGGGAAAGUCUGAUGUGAAAGCCCCGGGCCCAACCCGGGAAUGGCAUCGGAAACUACUUGGCUAGAGGGUUGGAGGGGGGACUGGAAUUCCCGGUGUAGCAGUGAAAUGCGUAGAUAUCGGGAGGAACGCCAGUGGCGAAGGCGAGUCCCUGGACAACACCUGACACUGAGGCACGAAAGCUCGGGGAGCAAACAGG
rnacentral:rRNA from 1 species